UGCAGUCGAGCGGAAGGCCCUUCGGGGUACUCGAGCGGCGAAGGGUGAGUAACACGUGAGUAAUCUGCCCCAGGCUCUGGGAUAGCCACCGGAAACGGUGAUUAAUACCGGAUACGACAACCGAUUGCAUGAUCUGGUUGUGGAAAGUUUUUCGGCCUGGGAUGUGCUCGCGGCCUAUCAGCUUGUUGGUGAGGUAAUGGCUCACCAAGGCUUCGACGGGUAGCCGGCCUGAGAGGGUGACCGGCCACACUGGGACUGAGACACGGCCCAGACUCCUACGGGAGGCAGCAGUGGGGAAUAUUGGACAAUGGGCGGAAGCCUGAUCCAGCAACGCCGCGUGAGGGAUGACGGCCUUCGGGUUGUAAACCUCUUUCAGCACAGACGAAGCGCAAGUGACGGUAUGUGCAGAAGAAGGACCGGCCAACUACGUGCCAGCAGCCGCGGUAAUACGUAGGGUCCGAGCGUUGUCCGGAAUUAUUGGGCGUAAAGGGCUCGUAGGCGGUCUGUCGCGUCGGGAGUGAAAACCAGGUGCUUAACACCUGGCCUGCUUUCGAUACGGGCAGACUAGAGGUACUCAGGGGAGAAUGGAAUUCCUGGUGUAGCGGUGAAAUGCGCAGAUAUCAGGAGGAACACCGGUGGCGAAGGCGGUUCUCUGGGAGUAUCCUGACGCUGAGGAGCGAAAGUGUGGGGGAGCGAACAGGA
rnacentral:rRNA from 1 species